GAUGAACGCUGGCGGCGUGCCUAAUACAUGCCAGUCGAGCGAACAGACGAGGAGCUUGCUCCUCUGACGUUAGCGGCGGACGGGUGAGUAACACGUGGAUAACCUACCUAUAAGACUGGGAUAACUUCGGGAAACCGGAGCUAAUACCGGAUAAUAUAUUGAACCGCAUGGUUCAAUAGUGAAAGACGGUUUUGCUGUCACUUAUAGAUGGAUCCGCGCCGCAUUAGCUAGUUGGUAAGGUAACGGCUUACCAAGGCGACGAUGCGUAGCCGACCUGAGAGGGUGAUCGGCCACACUGGAACUGAGGCACGGUCCAGACUCCUACGGGAGGCAGCAGUAGGGAAUCUUCCGCAAUGGGCGAAAGCCUGACGGAGCAACGCCGCGUGAGUGAUGAAGGUCUUCGGAUCGUAAAACUCUGUUAUUAGGGAAGAACAAAUGUGUAAGUAACUAUGCACGUCUUGACGGUACCUAAUCAGAAAGCCACGGCUAACUACGUG
rnacentral:rRNA from 1 species